GCCUGGGUAGCUCAAUUGGCCAGAGCAGCCGAUUUGUAAUCGGCAGGUUGUGGGAUCAUAUCCCACCCCAGGCU
rnacentral:tRNA from 3 species